GCCAAGUGCUAAUACCAUUUCAGUUGACCUCAUGGGUAGUUUUAGAGGACUCAGGAUUUGCCCUAGUCAUGUCAAGUUGGCUCAUUGGUUUAUGCUCUAUAUUUGCUAACUUGAACUAAAGUCCAUGAGUGUGAUUAAACUGGACACAUUUUUCUGGGGGCAGUUUUGUAUUUCUAGAGCUCACAAAAAAUAAAAAGUUUUCUUUUUACCUAAUGUAGCCUGGAACUACACUAACCCUUAUUUUAAUUCUGAGUCAACUCACAAAUAUUCAUUGGAUACUUAUUCCUACAGGAAACCUACCUUUCAAGGAUGAAGCAAAAGCAAAGAAACACAGAACACUGCAGAAAAAAAGAACAACAAAAGAAAGAAAGAAAGAAGAAAAGAAAAAAGAAAAGAAAAAAGAAAAUGAAGCAUGGGCAUAGUACUAUUUUAAGAAGUCCUCAACAAAGGAUCAUUGAGGAGUACUGAUGAUGCUCAACACUAUGCCGAGAUGUUAAGUGAGGAGGAAGGAUGUAUUUUCAAGGAAUAUGAAACACACAUGGAAUAUCAUACUAGGAAACGACAAAGCAUAGUUGGAUAGAUUGGGUCUAAAGCCUUGGAAUGGACGAGGCCCAACUUCAAAGGAUUGACUUCUGGGCUAUGGCUGAGAAGUAGAGGAAGACACAAGAAUUGCUGCAGAUAAUACUUGAAGUAAAUAACUCACAUCAAGCUAAAAAUGGAACAUGUGGUAAGACCUUACAUAACCUGAAAUGACACAUGGCAACUGAAGACCACUUCUCCCAUGAGUUCUUGGAGCCGAAGUUAAGUUGGCAUCUAAUGAAAAGUGUAAACCUGGGAGCAUUUACCCUGCUAUCUGUACUGCACCUUCAUUUAAGUUGGAACUCUCAGCUUUAAUAGCAUAAGAAAAAUACAA